rnacentral:rRNA from 1 species
UACGAAGGGGGCUAGCGUUGCUCGGAAUUACUGGGCGUAAAGCGCACGUAGGCGGCGUCGUAAGUCAGGGGUGAAAUCCCGGAGCUCAACUCCGGAACUGCCCUUGAAACUGCAAUGCUAGAAUCUUGGAGAGGCGAGUGGAAUUCCGAGUGUAGAGGUGAAAUUCGUAGAUAUUCGGAAGAACACCAGUGGCGAAGGCGACUCGCUGGACAAGUAUUGACGCUGAGGUGCGAAAGCGUGGGGAGCAAACAGG